UACGUAGGGCGCAAGCGUUGUCCGGAAUUAUUGGGCGUAAAGAGCUCGUAGGCGGCUUGUCACGUCGGUUGUGAAAGCCCGGGGCUUAACCCCGGGUCUGCAGUCGAUACGGGCAGGCUAGAGUGUGGUAGGGGAGAUCGGAAUUCCUGGUGUAGCGGUGAAAUGCGCAGAUAUCAGGAGGAACACCGGUGGCGAAGGCGGUUCUCUGGGCAUGAUCUGACGCUGAGGAGCGAAAGUGUGGGGAGCGAACAGG
rnacentral:rRNA from 1 species